rnacentral:rRNA from 1 species
CGGUAAUUCCAGCUCCAAUAGCGUAUACUAAAGUUGUUGCAGUUAAAAAGCUCGUAGUUGGAUUUCUGCGGGGACGGAGCGGCCGGACGCAACUUGCGUCUCGAGCUAGCGCUUUCCCCGCAUCCUGCCGCGAACCGUGCUACCAUUAGUUUGGUGGCGCUGGGGAUCGGCUCGAUUACUUUGAGAAAAAUAGAGUGUUCAAAGCAGGCCACACGCCUUGAAUAAGUUAGUAUGGAAUAAUGACUAAGGACUUCGGUUCUAUUUUGUUGGUGUUCGGGACUGAAGUAAUGAUUGAUAGGGACAGUUGGGGCGGUCUGUAUUCCAAAGCGAGAGGUGAAAUUCUUAGACCUUCGGAAGACAAACAGCUGCGAAAGCGUUCCGCAAGGAUGUUCCCUUUGAUCAAGAACGAAAGUUGGGGGAUCGAAGACGAUCAGAUACCGUCGUAGUCUCAACUAUAAACUAUACCAGCUAGGGAUCGGUCAACGUUUAAUUAUUCGACUUGAUCGGCACCUUAUGAGAAAUCAAAGCAUCUGGGUUCCGGGGGGAGUAUGGUCGCAAGGCUGAAACUUAAAGGAAUUGACGGAAGGGCACCACCAGCCGUGGAGCCUGUGGCUUAAUUUGACUCAACACGGGAAAACUUACCAGGUCCAGACAUAGUAAGGAUUGACAGAUUGAUAGCUCUUUCUUGAUUCUGUGGGUGGUGGUGCAUGGCCGUUCUUAGUUGGUGGAGUGAUUUGUCUGGUUAAUUCCGUUAACGAACGAGACCCCAGCCUGCUAAAUAGCGCGGUUGAGCUUUGCUCGAUGCGAGCUUCUUAGAGGGACUAUGAUGCGCGAUAGCACAUGGAAGUUUGGGGCAAUACCAGGUCUGUGAUGCCCUUAGAUGUUCUGGUCCGCACACGGCCUACACUGGCGCCUGCAACGAGCAUAUCAGCUGGCCCGAGAGGGUCUUGGCUAAUCUUUUGAACCGGCGCCGUGCUUGGGAUUGACCUUUGCAAUUGUUGGUCAUGCAACGAGGAAUGCCUUGUAAACGCGAGUCAUCAGCUCGCAUUGAAUACGUCCCUGCCCUUUGUACACACCGCCCGUCGCUCCUACCGAUGAAUGUUCCGAUGAAAUUUUCGGAGAGCGCCAGAGAACGGGGCUCCGCCUUGCAGAUCUGGAGGCUCAAAGUCACUUAAAUCUGAACAUUUCGAGGAAGGAGAAGUCGUAACAAGGUAACC